AGAGUUUGAUCCUGGCUCAGGAUGAACGCUGGCGGCGUGCCUAAUACAUGCAAGUCGAACGGGGAGUAUUAAUUUCGAUUUUUACUCCUAGUGGCGAACGGGUGAGUAACGCGUUGGUGACCUGCCCCGAAGCGGGGGAUAACAGUUCGAAAGGACUGCUAAUACCCCAUGUGGUCGUACAGGUUAGAGGCUGAACGACUAAAGGAGCAAUCCACUUCGGGAGGGGCCUGCGUCCCAUCAGCUAGUUGGUAAGGUAACGGCCUACCAAGGCGAUGACGGGUAGGGGACCUGAGAGGGUGGUCCCCCACACCGGCACUGAAACACGGGCCAGACACCUACGGGUGGCAGCAGUAGGGAAUAUUGCACAAUGGGCGAAAGCCUGAUGCAGCAGCGCCGCGUGCGCGAAGAAGGCCUUCGGGUUGUAAAGCGCUUUUCUGGAGGAAGAGGAAGGACGGUACUCCAGGAAUAAGGAUCGGCUAACUACGUGCCAGCAGCCGCGGUAACACGUAGGAUCCGAGCGUUAUCCGAAUUUACUGGGCGUAAAGCGCGUGUAGGCGGCCGGGUAAGUUGGACGUGAAAGCUCCUGGCUCAACUAGGAGAGGUCGUUCAAAACUGCCUGGCUAGAGGGCGACAGAGGGAGGUGGAAUUCCCGGUGUAGUGGUGAAAUGCGUAGAUAUCGGGAGGAACACCAGUGGCGAAGGCGGCCUCCUGGGUCGCUCCUGACGCUGAUGAACGAAAGCUAGGGGAGCGAAAGGGAUUAGAGACCCCUGUAGUCCUAGCCGUAAACGAUCCCCGCUAGAUGCUCGAUCCCGUUUCGACGGGAAUGGGUGUCGUAGCUAACGCGUUAAGCGGGGCGCCUGGGGAGUACGGCCGCAAGGCUAAAACUCAAAGGAAUUGACGGGGAGCGCACACCAGUGAGCAUGUUGUUUAAUUCGAGACGGAGCGAAGAACUUACCUGGGCUUGACAU
rnacentral:rRNA from 1 species